UACGGUAGGGGGCUAGCGUUGUCCGGAAUCAUUGGGCGUAAAGAGCGUGUAGGCGGCCCGGUAAGUCCGCUGUGAAAGUCGGGGGUCAACCCUCGAAUGCCGGUGGAUACUGUCGGGCUAGGAGUGCGGAAGAGGCGAGGUGGAAUUCCUGGUGUAGCGGUGAAAUGACGCAGAUAUCAGGAGGAACACCAAUGGCGAAGGCAGCACUCUGGG
rnacentral:rRNA from 1 species